rnacentral:rRNA from 1 species
AUUGAACGCUGGCGGCAGGCCUAACACAUGCAAGUCGAGCGGUAGAGAGAAGCUUGCUUCUCUUGAGAGCGGCGGACGGGUGAGUAAUGCCUAGGAAUCUGCCUGGUAGUGGGGGAUAACGUUCGGAAACGGACGCUAAUACCGCAUACGUCCUACGGGAGAAAGCAGGGGACCUUCGGGCCUUGCGCUAUCAGAUGAGCCUAGGUCGGAUUAGCUAGUUGGUGGGGUAAUGGCUCACCAAGGCGACGAUCCGUAACUGGUCUGAGAGGAUGAUCAGUCACACUGGAACUGAGACACGGUCCAGACUCCUACGGGAGGCAGCAGUGGGGAAUAUUGGACAAUGGGUGAAAGCCUGAUCCAGCCAUGCCGCGUGUGUGAAGAAGGUCUUCGGAUUGUAAAGCACUUUAAGUUGGGAGGAAGGGCAGUAAAUUAAUACUUUGCUGUUUUGACGUUACCGACAGAAUAAGCACCGGCUAACUCUGUGCCAGCAGCCGCGGUAA